AGUUUUUAUGCGAGUGAGAUCAAAGUCUGACACUAAGAGGGCAACUCAUUUUCACUUUGCACGUGCGUUUUUUUCUUUUUUUUUUUGAGUGAUGGAACAGCUACAACCGAGUCUCUCAAUCAGGGAGAAAUCAAAGCAAACAUCUGCGGAAUGAGUGUGCGUCUGCCACCGAACGUGACGGGCAUGCAUGUGUCAGCUCGCUGGAGUGGAACUCCUUUGACGGGCAUGUUCUGCGCAUGGGCACGGCGCCAGCGUGGAGAAGGAAAAGCCUCUGAGCAUCAGGCUGCAGAUGUUUGAAUGAAAGGAGCAGUUUGUUCGGGUGCAACUCAAUCGGCUCGUCUCUGCUGGUGCAGUUUUGGUCUCCACUCCAUCCAUCAAGUUUCACUUUUAUUUUUAGGUCAUUUGAAUCCGCCGCUGGGGCAGAAUGAUUUCUUACACCAGGGAUGAUCUCUUCAUACAAAUGCAGGUGGCUACAGCGGCUCCGCCCCAACCAGUCCAUUUCAUGAUUCUAUGGGUCUACAACAGAUGGGGGCCUUCAACAGGUACAGUUUUAAAUGCGACUGCCUGCUGAUGAAUGUUCUUGAUGCUGAUCCGGGAACAGAGAGCAUCACUGCUGCUUUAAAGCGGAGAGCAGCCCCUCCCUCCCCUGCGUCAGCAUCAGCAUCACCCACAGGCGGCAGGAUGGCGAUCGAUCCGGCAGUGGAGCGUUCAGCUCAGAAGGGGAUUUGUGAGGAGGACCUGAUCACGCAGGAGAGCUGA
rnacentral:lncRNA from 1 species